UCCCACACUAAUAUUUGCUCACAUGCAUCAACCGUUCCUAAUGCAAGUGGCAAAUAAUUUCGUAAUUGGUAUUCGAGAUCUCAAGUUCGAAUCCUAGUUGAUUCGCAUUUCUAGCUAAAUUUAUUUCUAAAUGAAAUAAACGAAGUGGGUAGCGUGCUACCUAUUUUCUCAAAAAAAAAAUAUUUGCUCACAUACAUCAUGAAUAUCACAAGCAUUAGCAUAUA
rnacentral:lncRNA from 1 species